GGAUUCUCCCAACAGCCCGAAUGAGGGAAGACAGGACCCUGAGCUCCAGGAGAACGUGGCCUGGUGACACCCUGAUUUCAGCCUGUCGAGACCCUGGGCAGGGGACCAGGCCCUCUGCACCGGACUCCUGAUGCACGGCGGUCGUGACAUAACAAGUGCGUGUUGCUUUAAGCCACUAAGUAUGAGGUUAAUCUGUUACCCAACACAAAAAACUAAUGCUGAUCCAAAUGUGGAGAAAGAUGAGGGCAAGUUCCAGACUGGAGGAAUGUCUUCACUGGCAAAGGGAUGGAGGUGCAGCAGAGGAGGGUUUAGGAGUGGAUUCUGGCAACACCGCCUGGGCAAGCUUCAGGCAGGAGAGACACGGCGGAGAGGACCUACCCCUGGCCAGGGGCUGGCACCACUGUCACUUAUAAAUGACACCACAGGGAUAAACUACAACAACGGAAGCCACGGAGAAGCGUGAGCCUCCUCGGAUGAUCUGUUUAAAAGAUGAAUGGAUAAAAAUAUCCAAAAUGAGAUCUCGAAAGGAAAAGUUAUAAGAACAAAGCACUCCCCCCCGACACAGUGGUGCCAGACUUUCAAGAAAAUCACGUGACUAGCGAACACGGAUUACAAGCUGAACUGACCUCUUUAUUUCUAUGACAGCCAAUACAUUUCCAAGCCUGGAAAAUCAGUGUCAUUAUCUAUGGGGUUUCAGAAAACGACCACAAGCUCCUGCAUAUCCUCCCCUGGAAUCCCAGUGGGCUGUGACUGCUUCAACCCACAGGGUGUGAGGGAAGCGAUGCUACGUGACUUCCGAGGUUACGUUAGAAAAAGCCACCCAGCUAGUGCCUGGUUGCUUGGAAUGCCCGCUCUCCAGACACUCCCUCCCAGGAAUCUCCCUCCAGAACACCCUCUCUUAGAACCCAGCCGCUGAGCUCCGAGCAGCAGUCACACGCAGAGGCCACGCGAGGCACUCCAACGGACAGUCCCAGGUGAACCCCGUCAUCCUAGCCUCGAGGCAGGCAGGUGAGUGACGCAGAUUCAGGAGGAUUCCAUGUGCAGCAUGAACAGAGAAAAACAAAAAACUAUAACAGAACGUUAACAAAUGGAACCCAGCAAUACACAAAAGGACAUUAUAUCACGACUGGAUUUAUCCCAGGAAUACAAGGUUAGCUCAACAUAUGAAAACCAAUCAGUGUAAUUCAUUUAAUAAGCUGCUUAAAAAAGAAAACAUGAUCAUCUCAAUAGAUGCAGAAAAAGCAACUGGCAAAAUUCAACAUCCAUUCAUUAUAAAAACUCUCAGCAAAUGAGGAACACAGGGGACUUCUUCAAUCUAAUAAAAGACACAAUAAAAAACCAACAGCUAAUAUUAUACUCAAUGGUGAAAGGCUGGUUGCUUUGCCCUCAGGGUCAGGUUGAAGAGAAGGAUGUCUACUCUUGCUAUUUCUAUUUCUGUCUGAGUUCCCAGCUAGUGAAAAAAAAGGUAAAGAAGAAAUAAAAACAGCUUAAUAGAUUGGAAAGGAAAGAGUAACACUGCCUUUUUUUGUAGAUGGCAUGAUUGUUUACAUAAAAAUUCCUCGGGAACACACUUGACAGGUAACAAAUACAUGAAUUUAGGAAGAUCACAAUAUACAAUAAUCCAUGGUGUGUAUGACUCGGGGCCUCAGUCCCACCUGGCUGCCAGUGAGGACAGGCCUGAGAGGACGCCAGGCUCAGGCCAGCAAGGGGCCAUCCCAUCAGCACCUGAAAACCCAACCACCUUGUGUGUCGAAGCUCAAGGACUAGACCUUCAUGAGGAGCAGGGAACAGCUGGCCUCCAGCUUCCUACCACUGCCCACAACCUUUGAUUCUCACAAUCAUUCUUACUGAAAAGCCUGCUUGUGACAAUCAAUUACCAGGAAGGGCUGUAAGAAAGGGCGUCUAUUUGCUGAGCUGUACCAAAUUUUGUUUUUGAAACACUCUGUUUUGGUCCCAUCUAGAUCUGCUUCUUCUGAAUUGCAGCCCCUGCAUUGAGCUAUCGGCCUAUUGCAUUCGUAAGGUGCCAGGAACUCCUUGUCAAGAAACUCCUUGUCAAGAAUGCCAGUCACUAGGUCACUUAGUCUUCUUACGAGUCUUCAUGAAAUAAGCUGAUCUCAGAUCUAAGAAAAUGGGAACAGGAGAAGCUUCUUGCUCGUGAACAACUGGACUGUUUUCAGUUUAAGGAUAUCGCGACUUACAGAACUGAUCCUAAUCCACUCCUUACUUUGGCCCCGUGGACGCUUAAAGCCAUCCUUACAAGGUCACCUCUACAACAAGAGUUUAUCCAUCAUAUUAUGAGGUGACAUGAGAGACACCAUUUCGGAAAAGACAUCUCGGAAAGGAGAGAAUUGGAACAUAAAAGAAAGGAAUGACGGGAAAACUGAAUGUUCUGUCCCCUCACCCUGCCUCCGUCACUGUCACCGAGCUU